rnacentral:snoRNA from 1 species
GUUCCCUAUGAUGAUUUAAAAUCAAUACCAUGCUAAUGUAUAUCUGAUAAAUUUUUGUAUUUGAUUUAUAAGUGAUUUGCUGAGGGAACA